GAACAAAUGAUGAUUCAUAUGAUUAUUCUGUUAACUUUGUUGUUUCAAAAUUGAUCUUUUUAAACCUGAUGCCCA
rfam:Hordeum vulgare subsp. vulgare, WGS project CAJW01000000 data, contig: morex_contig_121682